rnacentral:rRNA from 1 species
UACGAAGGGUGCAAGCGUUACUCGGAAUUACUGGGCGUAAAGCGUGCGUAGGUGGUUUGUUAAGUCUGAUGUGAAAGCCCUGGGCUCAACCUGGGAAUGGCAUUGGAUACUGGCAGGCUAGAGUGCGGUAGAGGGUAGUGGAAUUCCCGGUGUAGCAGUGAAAUGCGUAGAUAUCGGGAGGAACAUCCGUGGCGAAGGCGGCUACCUGGACCAGCACUGACACUGAGGCACGAAAGCGUGGGGAGCAAACAGG